AUACUUGAGUUUCAGUUUGGUGUAUUUGUGGUUGGGUGAUCUAGUUCUUGGUCUAAGAUUCUAAAUGGCCUUAUUAGAAAGAAGAAAAAAACUUAUUGUAAUGUUCUAUUGUUAGAGUACUGCUUGUACUGAAUAUAUUAUAAAGAACCUUAUAUACCUUUUGCUAUUUAAAAAAAAGAAGACUAAUUCUUCUUUCUUUGUAUUUGGUUUUAAACUUCAUGAAAUUCUCUAGCACUUUAUGUGUCUUUCCUUCAAUUUUUGAUUUAUGCUUCUUAGAUGACAAGGAUUAAAAAGCAGUCAACAUUUUUGCAAGAUUGGAGCAAGAUUAUUGAGAGAAAAGUGAAGUAGUUUGCGGUGGACACUUACUGGAUUUGUUGUUUAAAGAAUUGCAUUUGCGAUCAUUCCUCUUUUGGUAACAAUGAAAAUGAUGAUAAAUUAUUUCAAGUUGACGAUGAAGGCGAUGAAUUUGAAGAGGAUGACAUAGAUGACAAAUUUGAAGAGGACAACGUAGAUGCUAAAUAUGAAGAACACACACUUGAAUGAUUUAGAUGAUGAUUUUAGAUUAUGCUUUUUUGGAUGAUGUUUUUUUACUAGGCAUGUACUUGAUUGAAGCAUCAAAACUUCAACAAACUAUAUAUUUUGCUAGACUUAGUCCUUUAAGUAUUAAACUUUAUUUGAAUACUACCAUUUAUUUGUUUACUAUAUAUGUUACUAAUCUUAGACAAUUUGUUUAUUACCAUUUAUUUGAAUACAACUUUGUUAAUAAUUUGUGUUAAA